GUGGCCAUGGCGCAGCGGCGGCGCACCGGGUUGUGACCCCGGGGGUCGCGGGUUCGAAUCCCGCUGGCCACCCCA
rnacentral:tRNA from 1 species